rnacentral:rRNA from 1 species
GAGUUUGAUCCUGGCUCAGAACGAACGCUGGCGGCAUGCCUAACACAUGCAAGUCGAACGCCCCGCAAGGGGAGUGGCGAACGGGUGAGUAACGCGUGGGAACCUACCCAGCAGUUGGGGAUAACCGCGGGAAACUGCGGCUAAUACCGAAUACGUCCUUAGGGAGAAAGAUUUAUCGCUGUUGGAGGGGCCCGCGUCGGAUUAGCUAGUUGGUGAGGUAACGGCUCACCAAGGCGACGAUCCGUAGCUGGUCUGAGAGGAUGAUCAGCCACACUGGGACUUAGACACGGCCCAGACUCCUACGGGAGGCAGCAGUGGGGAAUAUUGGACAAUGGGGGCAACCCUGAUCCAGCAAUGCCGCGUGAGUGAUGAAGGCCUUAGGGUUGUAAAGCUCUUUUACCGGGGACGAUGAUGACGGUACCCGGAGAAUAAGCCCCGGCUAACUUCGUGCCAG